UGUAGGCUUUGCCUGCUAUCUCUUACCCAUGUCUUUUGAGUACCUUCGUUUCCUCGGCGGGUCCGCCCGCCGAUUGGACAAUUUAAACCAUUUGCAGUUGCAAUCAGCGUCUGAAAUAAUUUAAUAAAUUACAACUUUCAACAACGGAUCUCUUGGUUCUGGCAUCGAUGAAGAACGCAGCGAAAUGCGAUAAGUAGUGUGAAUUGCAGAAUUCAGUGAAUCAUCGAAUCUUUGAACGCACAUUGCGCCCCUUGGUAUUCCAUGGGGCAUGCCUGUUCGAGCGUCAUUUGUACCUUCAAGCUUUGCUUGGUGUUGGGUGUUUGUCUCGCCUCUGCGCGCAGACUCGCCUCAAAACAAUUGGCAGCCGGCGUAUUGAUUUCGGAGCGCAGUACAUCUCGCGCUUUGCACUCAGAACGACGACGUCCAAAAGUACAUUUUUACACUCUUGACCUCG
rnacentral:rRNA from 1 species